CCAGGGGGAGGUGGGGCGAACCUACACCAGCAGCUACUGGGCUAUAAAUAGCAGCCUCCAGCAGCUGCUCACUCACCUCCUUUCUCCAUCACAGACACACCCGAGCCCCUCGGACACCUGGACCAUGGACCCUGGGGAGUGCUCCUGCUUGUCUGGAGGAAUAUGCAUCUGUGGAGACAACUGCAAAUGCACAACCUGCAACUGUAAAACAUGUCGAAAAAGCUGCUGCUCCUGCUGCCCCCCGGGCUGUGCCAAGUGUGCCCAGGGCUGCAUCUGCAAAGGAGGCUCCAGCAA